rnacentral:rRNA from 1 species
GAUGAACGCUGGCGGCAUGCCUAAGACAUGCAAGUCGAACGAGGUGGCCCAUUGAUUUUAUUGAAAGCGGAGUGCUUGCACAAAACUGGAUUUAAUUUGAUUUGGAUUCUCCACCUAGUGGCGAAAGGGUGAGUAACACGUAGGAAUCUGCCUUUGAGACUGGGAUAACAAUUGGAAACGAUUGCUAAUACCGGAUGAUAUAUUAAAUGGUACGUUAUUUAAUAUUAAAGGAGCCUUUAAAGCUUCACUUAAAGAUGAGCCUGCGGCGUAUUAGCUAGUUGGUAAGGUAACGGGCUUACCAAGGCGACGAUGCGUAGCCGACCUGAGAGGGUGAUCGGCCACAUUGGGACUGAGACACGGCCCAAACUCCUAUGGGAGACAGCAGUUAGGAAUAUUCGACAAUGGAGGAAACUACUGAUCGAGCAAUGCCGCGUGAGUGAUGACGGUCCUUUGGAUUGUAAAACUCUUUAUUAGGGAAGAACGACUAGUAUAGGAAUGAUACUAGAGUGACGGUUACC